GAAACUGUGGGACGGGAGGCGCUGUAAGACCGAGGGUGCGGUGGGUAAGUGGAAUUACUGGGCGUAAAGCGAGGGUAUGUGGUUCAUUAAGUCACAUGUGGAAUCCCCGGGCUUAACCUGGGAACUGCAUGUGAUACUGGUGGUGCUAGAAUAUGUGAGAGGGAAGUAGAAUUCCAGGUGUAGCGGUGAAAUGCGUAGAGAUCUGGAGGAAUACCGAUGGCGAAGGCAGCUUCCUGGCAUAAUAUUGACACUGAGAUUCGAAAGCGUGGGUAGCAAACAGGAUUAGAUACCCUGGUAGUC
rnacentral:rRNA from 1 species